rnacentral:rRNA from 1 species
GGGUGAGAACUCGUGAAUGGCUGCCCUUACUCUGGGAUAAGCCUGGAAAACUGGCUCUAAUACCGGAUAUGACUCCUCCUCGUGUGGUGGGGGGUGGAAAGUUUUAUUGUGUUUUUGGAUGUCCUCGCCUCCUAUCUUGUUGUUGGUGAGGUGAUGGCUCACCAAGGCGACGACGGGUAGCCGGCCUGAGAGGGUGACCGGCCACRCUGGGACUGARACACGGCCCAGACUCCUACGGGAGGCAGCAGUGGGGAAUAUUGCACAAUGGGCGCAAGCCUGAUGCAGCGACGCCGCGUGAGGGAUGACGGCCUUCGGGUUGUAAACCUCUUUCAGUAGGGAAGAAGCGAAAGUGACGGUACCUGCAGAAGAAGCGCCGGCUAACUACGUGCCAGCAGCCGCGGUAAUACGUAGGGCGCAAGCGUUAUCCGGAAUUAUUGGGCGUAAAGAGCUCGUAGGCGGUUUGUCGCGUCUGCCGUGAAAGUCCGGGGCUCAACUCCGGAUCUGCGGUGGGUACGGGCAGACUAGAGUGAUGUAGGGGAGACUGGAAUUCCUGGUGUAGCGGUGAAAUGCGCAGAUAUCAGGAGGAACACCGAUGGCGAAGGCAGGUCUCUGGGCAUUAACUGACGCUGAGGAGCGAAAGCAUGGGGAGCGAACAGGAUUAGAUACCCUGGUAGUCCAUGCCGUAAACGUUGGGCACUAGGUGUGGGGGACAUUCCACGUUUUCCGCGCCGUAGCUAACGCAUUAAGUGCCCCGCCUGGGGAGUACGGCCGCAAGGCUAAAACUCAAAGGAAUUGACGGGGGCCCGCACAAGCGGCGGAGCAUGCGGAUUAAUUCGAUGCAACGCGAAGAACCUUACCAAGGCUUGACAUGAACCGGAAAGACCUGGAAACAGGUCCCCCACUUGUGGUCGGUUUACAGGUGGUGCAUGGUUGUCGUCAGCUCGUGUCGUGAGAUGUUGGGUUAAGUCCCGCAACGAGCGCAACCCUCGUUCCAUGUUGCCAGCGCGUUAUGGCGGGGACUCAUGGGAGACUGCCGGGGUCAACUCGGAGGAAGGUGGGGACGACGUCAAAUCAUCAUGCCCCUUAUGUCUUGGGCUUCACGCAUGCUACAAUGGCCGGUACAAAGGGUUGCGAUACUGUGAGGUGGAGCUAAUCCCAAAAAGCCGGUCUCAGUUCGGAUUGGGGUCUGCAACUCGACCCCAUGAAGUCGGAGUCGCUAGUAAUCGCAGAUCAGCAACGCUGCGGUGAA